GACAGAGGGUGCAAACGUUGUUCGGAAUUACUGGGCGUAAAGCGCGUGUAGGCUGCUCCGAUAAUCGGAUGUGAAAGCCCUGGGCUCAACCUAGGAAGUGCAUUCGAUACUGCGGAGCUGGAGUCCUGGAGAGGAAGGCGGAAUUCUCGGUGUAGAGGUGAAAUUCGUAGAUAUCGAGAGGAACACCGGUGGCGAAGGCGGCCUUCUGGACAGUGACUGACGCUGAGACGCGAAAGCGUGGGGAGCAAACAGG
rnacentral:rRNA from 1 species